rnacentral:rRNA from 1 species
AGGACGAACGCUGGCGGCGUGCUUAACACAUGCAAGUCGAGCGGUAAGGCCUUUCGGGGUACACGAGCGGCGAACGGGUGAGUAACACGUGGGUGAUCUGCCCUGCACUCUGGGAUAAGCCUGGGAAACUGGGUCUAAUACCGGAUAUGACCUGCUCUCGCAUGGGGGGUGGGUGGAAAGAUUUAUCGGUGCAGGAUGGGCCCGCGGCCUAUCAGCUUGUUGGUGGGGUAAUGGCCUACCAAGGCGACGACGGGUAGCCGACCUGAGAGGGUGACCGGCCACACUGGGACUGAGACACGGCCCAGACUCCUACGGGAGGCAGCAGUGGGGAAUAUUGCACAAUGGGCGAAAGCCUGAUGCAGCGACGCCGCGUGAGGGAUGAAGGCCUUCGGGUUGUAAACCUCUUUCAGCGAGGACGAAGCGCAAGUGACGGUACCUGACAGAAGAAGCAACCGGCUAACUACGUGCCCAGCAGCCGC